CAGCCGCCACGGUAAUACGUAGGUGGCAAGCGUUGUCCGGAAUUAUUGGGCGUAAAGGGCUCGCAGGCGGUUUCUUAAGUCUGAUGUGAAAGCCCCCGGCUCAACCGGGGAGGGUCAUUGGAAACUGGGAAACUUGAGUGCAGAAGAGGAGAGUGGAAUUCCACGUGUAGCGGCGAAAUGCAUAGAGAUGUGGAGGAACACCAGUGGCGAAGGCGGCUCACUGGACCGACACUGACGCUGAGGCGCGAAAGCGUGGGGAGCAAACAGGAUUAGAUACCCCCGUAGUCCCUGUCUCUUAUAC
rnacentral:rRNA from 1 species